GACGAACGCUGGCGGCGUGCCUAAUACAUGCAAGUUGAGCGCUGAAGGUUGGUACUUGUACCAACUGGAUGAGCAGCGAACGGGUGAGUAACGCGUGGGGAAUCUGCCUUUGAGCGGGGGACAACAUUUGGAAACGAAUGCUAAUACCGCAUAAAAACUUUAAACACAAGUUUUAAGUUUGAAAGAUGCAAUUACAUCACUCAAAGAUGAUCCCGCGUUGUAUUAGCUAGUUGGUGAGGUAAAGGCUCACCAAGGCGAUGAUACAUAGCCGACCUGAGAGGGUGAUCGGCCACAUUGGGACUGAGACACGGCCCAAACUCCUACGGGAGGCAGCAGUAGGGAAUCUUCGGCAAUGGACGAAAGUCUGACCGAGCAACGCCGCGUGAGUGAAGAAGGGUUUCGGAUCGUAAAACUCUGUUGGUAGAGAAGAACGUUGGUGAGAGUGGAAAGCUCACCAAGUGACGGUAACUACCCAGAAAGGGACGGCUAACUACGUG
rnacentral:rRNA from 1 species